CCUACGGGUGGCAGCAGUGAGGAAUAUUGGUCAAUGGGCGCGAGCCUGAACCAGCCAAGUAGCGUGAAGGAUGACUGCCCUACGGGUGGUAAACUUCUUUUAUAAAGGAAUAAAGUGAGGUACGUGUGCCUUUUUGUAUGUACUUUAUGAAUAAGGAUCGGCUAACUCCGUGCCAGCAGCCGCGGUAAUACGGCGGAUCCGAGCUUUAUCCGGAUUUAUUGGGUUUACAGGGAGCGUAGAUGGGUUGUUAAGUCAGUUGGUAAAGUUUGAGGCUCAACCGUAAAAUUGCAAGUGAUACUGGCAGUCUUGAGUACAGUUGGGGUAGGCGGAAUUCGUGGUGUAGCGGUGAAAUGCUUAGAUAUCACGAAGAACUCCGAUUGCGAAGGCAGCUUACUAAACUGCCACUGACAUUGAUGCUCGAAAGUGUGGGUAUCAAACAGGAUUAGAUACCCGAGUAGUC
rnacentral:rRNA from 1 species